AACGAACGCUGGCGGCAUGCCUAACACAUGCAAGUCGAACGAGACCUUCGGGUCUAGUGGCGCACGGGUGCGUAACGCGUGGGAACCUGCCUUUAGGUUCGGAAUAACUCAGAGAAAUUUGAGCUAAUACCGGAUGAUGUCUUCGGACCAAAGAUUUAUCGCCUUUAGAUGGGCCCGCGUUGGUUUAGCUAGUUGGUGGGGUAAAGGCCUACCAAGGCGACGAUCCAUAGCUGGUCUGAGAGGAUGAUCAGCCACACUGGGACUGAGACACGGCCCAGACUCCUACGGGAGGCAGCAGUGGGGAAUAUUGGACAAUGGGCGAAAGCCUGAUCCAGCAAUGCCGCGUGAGUGAUGAAGGCCUUAGGGUUGUAAAGCUCUUUUACCCGAGAUGAUAAUGACAGUAUCGGGAGAAUAAGCUCCGGCUAACUCCGUG
rnacentral:rRNA from 1 species